AGUCGAACGGUAACAGGUCUUCGGAUGCUGACGAGUGGCGAACGGGUGAGUAAUACAUCGGAACGUGCCUAGUAGUGGGGGAUAACUACUCGAAAGAGUGGCUAAUACCGCAUGAGAUCUACGGAUGAAAGCAGGGGAUCGCAAGACCUUGUGCUACUAGAGCGGCCGAUGGCAGAUUAGGUAGUUGGUGGGAUAAAAGCUUACCAAGCCGACGAUCUGUAGCUGGUCUGAGAGGACGAUCAGCCACACUGGGACUGAGACACGGCCCAGACUCCUACGGGAGGCAGCAGUGGGGAAUUUUGGACAAUGGGCGCAAGCCUGAUCCAGCAAUGCCGCGUGCAGGAUGAAGGCCUUCGGGUUGUAAACUGCUUUUGUACGGAACGAAAAGCCCUGGGUUAAUACCCUGGGGUCAUGACGGUACCGUAAGAAUAAGCACCGGCUAACUACGUGCCAGCAGCCGCGGUAAUACGUAGGGUGCGAGCGUUAAUCGGAAUUACUGGGCGUAAAGCGUGCGCAGGCGGUUUUGUAAGACAGAGGUGAAAUCCCCGGGCUCAACCUGGGAACUGCCUUUGUGACUGCAAGGCUAGAGUACGGCAGAGGGGGAUGGAAUUCCGCGUGUAGCAGUGAAAUGCGUAGAUAUGCGGAGGAACACCGAUGGCGAAGGCAAUCCCCUGGGCUGUACUGACGCUCAUGCAC
rnacentral:rRNA from 1 species